rnacentral:rRNA from 1 species
AGUGAACGCUGGCGGUAGGCCUAACACAUGCAAGUCGAACGGCAGCACAGUAAGAGCUUGCUCUUACGGGUGGCGAGUGGCGGACGGGUGAGGAAUACAUCGGAAUCUACUUUUUCGUGGGGGAUAACGUAGGGAAACUUACGCUAAUACCGCAUACGACCUACGGGUGAAAGCAGGGGAUCUUCGGACCUUGCGCGAUUGAAUGAGCCGAUGUCGGAUUAGCUAGUUGGCGGGGUAAAGGCCCACCAAGGCGACGAUCCGUAGCUGGUCUGAGAGGAUGAUCGGCCACACUGGAGCUGAGACACGGUCCAGACCCCUCCGGGAGGCAGCAGUGGGGAAUAUUGGACAAUGGGCGCAAGCCUGGUCCAGCCAUACCGCGUGGGUGAAGAAGGCCUUCGGGUUGUAAAGCCCUUUUGUUGGGAAAGAAAAGCAGCAGGUUAAUACCCCGCUGUUCUGACGGUACCCAAAGAAUAAGCACCGGCUAACUUCGUG